CGCCUCCCCCUGGGCCCGCCUGGCCAGCAGGGACUCCAGCGGAACGUCCAUCCGUAGCUCCCAGUGGUCCUUUGGCACCAUCAGCAACAGCACCCAGCGCUCCUACCACGCCUGCUGUAGCUGGACUCAACACCCUCUGAUCCAGAAGAACCGCCGGGUAGUGCUGGCCUCCUUCCUACUCCUGCUGCUGGGGCUGGGUGAGUGCCCCUGAGGGUCCCCUGCCUGCCCCCAUGAGGGCUCUGUCCUCCCUCUGUGCAGGCUCUGCACCGCCCCCGCCUCGGCACACCCUACGUCCAGCCGACUGCCAUCACCCCACCCCCAUUUUACAGGGAGAAACGAGCAAUAGCUUCAUUUACUCUGCGUCUGCUUCGAGCCAGGUGCAGGGUGACUUCUUUCCAGAGGUCACACAGCAAGUGAGAGGUAGGACCGUGACCCAGAACCUGUGGAGGGACACGUGCUCAGGGAUAUGCCCUUCCCCGUAGACAGGGGUGCCGAGCGCCCUGCCAGCCCCAUCCACAGAGCACCUGUCAUGUCCCCUUCUCUGCAGCCGGAGCUGAUGGGGACCUCUCUCUGCCCCUCACUGGGUACACCUAUUGCCCAGAUGGGGAUACUGAAGACCAGAGCAGGCAGAGCUCACAGCCAGAUGUUUUCAGACUCGUUCUAGGGGGCUGAGGAAUCGGGAUCCCCAGAAAAGGACGUAGGGUCGGAAUCAAGAGGGGCUUGUGUGGACAGCCCGGCUUGGCAGCUGCUGUCCGUCCUCCAGCACGGUCAGAGUCCCCCGAGGCGCCCUUGCCUCAGCUCUGAGUGUCUGGGCGGGGGAGCCACCAACUUCUCCAGCACCCACUGCACGCUGGGCACUGGGCACACUGGCCAUCUGCCUUGUCCCCUUUCAUUCUCUCCCCCAGCACCCAUAAGGGCAAGCAUUAUUACCAGCCAGUUCAGAAAUAAGAACAGAGGCUCAGCCAGGUAAAGGGGCCUGCUCAGACCUCAGCUGCGAAGUAGAUGAGCUGGGAUUUAAACCCACAUCAGUGACAGUACCAGGCCUAUAAAGGGCCUUGGUAGGAUUUCGAAGAUGCCUCCUCUGAGUGGGCAGGGCCGCCAGCCCUGAGCCAGGGUAGCAGGUGGUGUUUCAGCCCCCACCACUCCCUUGUGAGGUGCUCCGCAAAGGGCACAAGUCACCGAACAGUCCAUGCCGGCCCCUCAGGCCUCCAUGCAAUAUCGCCCCCGUCCCCACCCCCGCUGGAAAGCCUGCUCCCCCACCACCCCCAGUCCCAUCCUCUGGGGACCCAAGACCCUCUGGGUCUGAGAAGUUGACCCAGCCAUGACUUCCCCACCAGCCACCGUCCUCAGCUGAAGUCCACAUCCCUCGUUGUGGGGGGGCACAGGCGCUGCCAAAGUCCUCAAGCCCAGGCUCUUGCCUCUCCAGUCUUCCACUCUGGAAGCUCCUGGAAGGCCCCAAGUUCCCUCCAGACUCUAGGCCUUUGGCACGCUGCUCCCUCUGCCUAGAGCAGUCCACUCCUUUUCUGCCUGCACCAUGCCCGUAGCAAAGGCUCCGGAGUCCCAUCGCCUCCUCCUUCCAUGUGCAGCUCUCUGCGCCUCAGUCUCAUCUUCCA